rnacentral:lncRNA from 1 species
GGGGACGGGGUCAGGGGACAGGGAACAGGGACAGGGGACAGGGAACAGGGACAGGGGACAGGGGAUGGGGUCUAGGGACAGGGUUUGGGGACAGGGGACGAGGUUUGGGGACAGGGGACAGGGGAUGGGGACAGGGGAUGGGACAUGGGGACAGGGGACGGGGUCUGGGGACAGGGAACAGGGACAGGGGACAGGGAAUGGGGACAGGGGACAGGGGAUGGGGUUUGAGAACAGGGGAUGGGGACCGGGGAUGGGGACAAGGGAUAGGACAUGGAGACAGGGAAUGGGGUCUGGCGACAGGGGAUGGGGUUUGGGGACAAGGUAUGGGACAUGGGGACACCCGGCAGGGCAAGGUGGCACAUGGCAGGGCGCAGUGACAAGGGACAGGGCGCUUGGCAGGGCGCUGUGCCACUCGGCGGGUGGCACAUGGCAGGGUGAGGUGGCAAUGGACAGGGCACGGCGACAAGGGACGGGGCCCAGCGGCGCAUGGCAGAGGUGGCACCGCACGGUGGCACUUAGUGGGGCACGGUGGCACGUGGCGGGGCACGGUGACACUCGGCAGGGCACGGUGGCAUUUGGCAGGGCACGGUGACACUCGGCAGGACGAGGUGGCGCAUGGCAGGGCACGGUGGCACAGGACAGGGCACGGUGACACAGGACAGGGCACGGUGACACGGGGCAUGGUGGCACAGGACAUGGCACAGGGACACAGGACAGGGCACGGUGACACGGGGCAUGGUGGCACAGGACAUGGCACAGGGACACAGGACAGGGCACGGUGACAUGGGGCAUGGUGGCACAGGACAGGGCACGGUGACACGGGGCAUGGUGACACAGGACAGGGCACGGUGACAUGGGGCAUGGUGGCACAGGACAGGGCACGGUGACACGGGGCAUGGUGGCACAGGACAGGGCACGGUGGCACAGGACAGGGCACGGUGACACGGGGCAUGGCACAGGACAGGGCAUGGGGACACGGGGCAGGGCACGGUGGCACAGGACAGGGCACGGUGACACGGGGCAUGGCACAGGACAGGGCAUGGGGACACGGGGCAGGGCACAGGGACACGGGGCAGGGCACAGUGACACGGGGCGCACGGAGGUGGCACGCGGCAGUGCGGGGUGACACGGAGCUGCGGCACGGUGACACGCUGCGGGGUGACACAGAGCUCCCCAAGCCAACUGGUGACACGCUGGGGGACCCCCCCCGAACCCCAGCACCGUGGCUGGGGACGCUGGGGGGGGGGG